rnacentral:rRNA from 1 species
AUGUAAUGCCUAAAAUUUUAAUACACUGGAUCCCAUUAGAACUUUGAAGUUAAGCGCACUUGUGCUAGAGUACUAAUGGGAUGGGUGACCUCUCGGGAAGUCCUAGUGUUUUACAUG